rnacentral:rRNA from 1 species
AUUGAACGCUGUCGGCAUGCUUUACACAUGCAAGUCGAACGGUAACAGGCCGCAAGGUGCUGACGAGUGGCGAACGGGUGAGUAAUGCAUCGGAACGUGCCCAGUCGUGGGGGAUAACGCAGCGAAAGCUGUGCUAAUACCGCAUACGAUCUGUGGAUGAAAGCGGGGGACCGAAAGGCCUCGCGCGAUUGGAGCGGCCGAUGUCAGAUUACGUAGUCGGUGGGGUAAAGGCUCACCAAGCCAACGAUCUGUAGCUGGUAUGAGAGGACGACCAGCCCCACUGAGACGGAGGCCCGGGGCAGACUCCUGCGGGAGGCAGCAGUGGGUAAUUUUGGACAAGGGGCGCCAGCCUGUUGCAGCAAUGCCGCGUGCAGGAAGAAGGCCUUCGGGUUGUAAACUGCUUUUGUACGGAGCGAAAAGGCUCUCUCUAAUACAGGGGGCUCAUGACGGUACCGUAAGAAUAAGCACCGGCUAACUACGUGCCAGCCGCCGCGGUAAAAC